GGGGAUGCGUGGUUUCGACAGGGGAUCAGUUUGGGAGGAUUGCAGGUCGAGUUUGUCAUGCACUCGUAAAUCACAUGGCAAAACAUUAAUUGCCGACGAACCAGUCGCUUUAGCUGCGUAAAUAACGCAACUACGUCUCACGGACUCACCUCGACGGUCAGUGAAGGCGAUAUAUAGCCGAGGUGCGGUGGUAACACUGCCACUGUGGGCCAUCUAAGAAUUUGUGGCAGGUAUUUUGGCAACCCGCCGGUGGGCUCGCCUCUAAUACCUUAUAAACACCGGAUAAACCUGUAGCAUAUCUGUACUGGACGUCUCUUGGACGGGGAGUUCGACCCUCCCCCAUCUCCACCA
rnacentral:tmRNA from 1 species